rnacentral:rRNA from 1 species
UACGAACUGUGCGAACGUUAUUCGGAAUCACUGGGCUUAAAGGGUGCGUAGGCGGCGGCUCCAGUCAGGUGUGAAAUCCCCCGGCUCAACCGGGGAACAGCGCUUGAAACUAGGUCGCUCGAGUGAGGCAGGGGUGUAUGGAACUUCCGGUGGAGCGGUGAAAUGUGUAGAGAUCGGAAGGAACGCCGGCGGCGAAAGCGGUGCACUGGGCCUUGUCUGACGCUGAGGCACGAAAGCUAGGGGAGUGAACGGG